GGGGAUUUGGUUUGGAUGUGCCGAGGGGACACGGAGGACAGCCAGGAAAGCAAUAGGGAGAAAUGAGAAACUCAAUAGAGACUAAAAUUCCAUAUAGGAGAUGUUGGUGAAAUGCUACUUCUCCACACCAUUCCAGUGGAAGUUAUGAGUGAAGCUUAACUGUUGCCAUUGCAUGUGUGACAAAGGGGAUGAGUUGUUUGUCCAUGGGACUCAGUCAACCAGUGCAGAACCAGAAAGUUACCCACAAUGACAUCAAGACAUCGUUCACCUCUUCCAGCUGAGGAGUCUCUUGUUCUCAUCACUAAUCACGGUGGACUGUUUCCCGUGUUAUCUGAGGGACAGACCAUUGCC
rnacentral:lncRNA from 1 species